AAACUCUACAAUAGAGACUUGUACCGUUUUUUGCUCAGCAGAUCAUGGAUGUGAUCAUAAAGCAGAAACUGGUGCUACUAGUGAACCUUUGGCUGUGGACCUCAGGUGCGGCUGCUGGCAGUGAGGUCGACCAGCCGGCCAUGCUGUGGAGAAACCAGGGUGACAACGCAACAAUCAGCUGCAGACACUCUAAGGGUGCUAGCUACUACCAGAUGUACUGGUACCGACAGCUGCCUGGGGAAAUGAUGAAACAAAUAGUUUAUUCUAUUGCGAACUCCAAACCUGACUUUGAGGCCGAAUUCAAACUCGGUGAAAAAUUCUCAGUGGUCAAGCCUGAUGCUGAGAGCGGGACGUUCACCGUGCACAAACUGGUGCCGGGAGACCAAGGCCUGUAUUUCUGUGCCAUCAGUGAGCACAGUGACGCAAACGAGCUGAAAGGCUGAACAAAAGCUACUGGCACAAGUUUCACCUCGUCUGUCGUAUGGGGGAGGAUGACAGAUACCACAAAUAAUCAACUCCUGUCUUAUUCAUCACUUUGAAGUCCAUGUGUAGCCGUUGAUCCCCUUCCUGCAGGUGGGGAAUACUUGUCUGUUGUUUCAAACACAAACGCUGCAGAAUAUGAUUGAACAUAACCUCUUGAUGCCAGUAAUAAUCUAAACCAGGGGCUGGCACUGUUAUUUUUCCAAAAACUUUUCAAUUGUAAGUCCUCAGCCCAGCUAAAUAAAAGAU